CACUCUCCAAAAUGGUUCAAACCCUAGUCCGAACCAUAGCCAUGGCCGCCGCCGCCGCCACCACCGCUCGCGCCGCCGCAAUCUCCUCCCUCAUCCCCAAGCGCCUCCUCUCCUCCACCUCCAGAAUCACCCGUCCCCCCUCCGUCCCCUCUCUUAUCCUCGGCCGUCGAUCUCUCGCGCCGCUCUCCCAUGCCGUCCGUCCCUACCCCGCCGCCGCCACGCGUUUCACCGCUAUUCGCUGCCGCGUUAACCGCUCCGGCGGGUCGUACUCCCCCUUAACUCCGGCUCGAACUUCAGCGAGCGUCCCCCGACGGAGAUGGCUCCGCUCUUCCCAGGCUGCGACUACGAGCACUUCCUCAUCGUCAUGGAUAAGCCCGGCGGCGAAGGAGCCACCAAGCAGGAGAUGAUCAACUGCUACAUUCAGACCGCUGCUAAAGUCCUCGGCAGUGAGGAAGAAGCGAAGAAGAAGAUCUACAAUGUGUCAUGUGAGAGGUAUUUUGGUUUCGGAGUGAACAUUGAUGAGGAGACCGCCAACAAGCUUGAAGGUUUGCCCGGAGUUCUUUUUGUGCUUCCGGAUUCAUAUGUUGAUGCUGAGAAUCAAGACUAUGGGGCGGAGUUGUUUGUCAAUGGAGAAAUUGUUCAAAGGUCUCCUGAAAGGCAGAGGAGGGUGGAGCCACAGCCCUCAAGAGCUCAGGACAGACCCCGAUACAAUGACAGAACUCGAUAUGUGCGUAGGAGGGAAAAUGUGCGGUGAAAAUGAUGGCGGGCUGGAAAUGUAAAUAACUAUGGUGAGAGGCAGUGCUAGCUUUCUGAAAGCAUAUCCCCAUCGGAAUGAGUCAUGAUUGUGCUAUAGGUUGCUUGAUAAGUACUUUCAAGUAAAUUUGAAAUUUGAUCAUGAUUCUCCUCUGUGAUGAGACUGAAAGUCUAGAAGCAAUUUGAUAAUUUCUGAUAACUUGAAUUAUUAAGAUACUUGACGUGAAAAUGUUUUUAUUUUUUUUAUUUUUUAUUUUGUGUCAGUUGCUGUGUUAUGUUAAUUGCAAAU